rnacentral:tRNA from 1 species
ACUAUAUUAGCAUAUUAGUGCAUUAAAUUUAGAAUUUAAAUAUAAUAAAUUUUUAUUAUAUAGUA